rnacentral:snoRNA from 1 species
GAGCAGCCAAUUAAGCUGUGUUCUCUGCCCCAGGGAGUGCUGCCCAGUAUGCAGUGGCUGAAGCCUCCUAGGGAGUGGAUGCACCCUUUGGUUUGUAUGAGCUGUAAUAAAGGAUCCUGGAGAAAGUC